UGCCACAGCCAGAUCACUCUGUAGCCUAAGACCGGUUACUCACUUAAGCUAAGCAGGGCAGAGCCUGGUCAGUACCUGUAUGGGAGACCACAUGGGAAAUCUAGGUUACUGUUGGGC
ensembl:rRNA 5S_rRNA 5S ribosomal RNA